rnacentral:piRNA from 1 species
UCGAUGAUUCUGCACUGAUGUUUGAGC